rnacentral:rRNA from 1 species
CCUACGGGAGGCAGCAGUGAGGAAUAUUGGUCAAUGGGCGCGAGCCUGAACCAGCCAAGUAGCGUGAAGGAUGACUGCCCUACGGGUUGUAAACUUCUUUUAUAAAGGAAUAAAGUGAGGCACGUGUGCCUUUUUGUAUGUACUUUAUGAAUAAUGAUCGGCUAACUCCGUUCCAGCAGCCGCGGUAAUCCGGAGGAUCCGAGCGUUAUCCGGAUUUAUUUGGUUUAAAGGGCGCGUAGAUGGGUUGUUAAGUCAGGUGUGAAAGUUUGCGGCGCAACCGUAAAAUUGCAAUUGAUACUGGCAGUCUUGAGUACAGUGGAGGUAGGCGGAAUUCGUGGUGUAGCGGUGAAAUGCUUAGAUAUCACGAAGAACUCCGAUUGCGAAGGCAGCUUACUAAACUGCCACUGACAUUGAUGCUCGAAAGUGUGGGUAUCAAACAGGAUUAGAUACCCCAGUAGUC